rnacentral:rRNA from 1 species
GAUGAACGCUAGCGGCAGGCUUAAUACAUGCAAGUCGAGGGGCAGCGCGGGUAGCAAUACCUGGCGGCGACCGGCAAACGGGUGCGGAACACGUACACAACCUUCCCUUGAGGCGGGGGAUAGCCCAGAGAAAUUUGGAUUAAUACCCCAUAAGAUAUUGUCCCGGCAUCGGGAAGAUAUUAAAGAUUUAUCACCUUAGGAUGGGUGUGCGUAUGAUUAGGUAGUUGGUGCGGGUAACGGCCCACCAAGCCAUCGAUCAUUAACUGGUGUGAGAGCACGACCAGUCACACGGGCACUGAGACACGGGCCCGACUCCUACGGGAGGCAGCAGUAAGGAAUAUUGGUCAAUGGACGGAAGUCUGAACCAGCCAUGCCGCGUGAAGGAUGACGGCCCUCUGGGUUGUAAACUUCUUUUAUCUGGGACGAAAAAGGGCCAUUCUU